AUUGAACGCUGGCGGCAGGCCUAACACAUGCAAGUCGAACGGUAGCACAGAGAGCUUGCUCUCGGGUGACGAGUGGCGGACGGGUGAGUAACGUCUGGGAAACUGCCCGAUGGAGGGGGAUAACUACUGGAAACGGUAGCUAAUACCGCAUAACGUCGCAAGACCAAAGUGGGGGACCUUCGGGCCUCACACCAUCGGAUGUGCCCAGAUGGGAUUAGCUAGUAGGUGGGGUAAUGGCUAACCUAGGCGACGAUCCCUAGCUGGUCUGAGAGGAUGACCAGCCACACUGGAACUGAGACACGGUCCAGACUCCUACGGGAGGCAGCAGUGGGGAAUGUUGCACAAUGGGCGCAAGCCUGAUGCAGCCAUGCCGCGUGUAUGAAGAAGGCCUUCGGGUUGUAAAGUACUUUCAGCGGGGAGGAAGGCGGUGAAGUUAAUAACUUCACCGAUUGACGUUACCCGCAGAAGAAGCACCGGCUAACUCCGUGCCAGCAGCCGCCGUAA
rnacentral:rRNA from 1 species